GAUGAAAGCUGGCGGCGUGCUUAACACAUGCAAGUCGAACGAAGCAUUUAGAACGGAUUACUUCGGUUUGAAGUUCUUUAUGACUGAGUGGCGGACGGGUGAGUAACGCGUGGGUAACCUGCCUUGUACUGGGGGAUCGCAGCUGGAAACGGCUGGUAAUACCGCAUAAGCGCACAAUGUUGCAUGACAUGGUGUGAAAAACUCCGGUGGUAUAAGACGGACCCGCGUCUGAUUAGCUAGUUGGUGAGAUAACAGCCCACCAAGGCGACGAUCAGUAGCCGACCUGAGAGGGUGACCGGCCACAUUGGGACUGAGACACGGCCCAGACUCCUACGGGAGGUAGCAGUGGGGAAUAUUGCACAACGGAGGAAACUCUGAUGCAGCGACGCCGCGUGAGUGAAGAAGUAAUUCGUUAUGUAAAGCUCUAUCAGCAGGGAAGAUAGUGACGGUACCUGACUAAGAAGCUCCGGCUAAAUACGUGCCAGCCGCCGCCGUAA
rnacentral:rRNA from 1 species